AUGAUGAGUAUCUCCGGGCUGCCAUCAGGGCUUCUGGGAAGCAGGCCUGAGAUGAACUCCGUCAGUUCACACAGUCACAGAAGAUUGCAUCCAGGUGUUCAUCUGACAGAGUUGCUGAGAUAUGCUGGUCUGCCUGGGACAGCUGCAUCGGGAACUUCUUUUUGCAUCGAUGCUUCUCCACCACUUCCUCCUUUGGUUCCCCCGCCCAGCAGGUGCAGACAUUUGCUAACAGAGGUUCUUUGCUGUAUGUCAUAGCAUUUUACAACCAGCUUUCUGCAGAACAGCUAAAAAAAAAGAGUUCAACCUAAACAUAGCCAAACAACUUUUACCAGAGCAGUAAAGUGAUUUCCUCACUGGGCUCUGCUCUGAGGCAGAUCUGAGGAGCUCUGUUCACUCUGGGUCCUUUUGCAAGUUUACCCUGGGCUCACCUUUGGCAAGAUUCACCCUGCAAGAGACCUGGACCACCAUGUGGGAUCUGGUCUCCAUGGACUGUCACGCUGGCUUAUUUCAGACUUGUGUCCCCAGGGGUGGGUGGGAGCUGGCUGAGGCCUCGGGCCAGCUGGGUAGCAGAGCCUCAUGCCCGGCUGGCCCUGUGCUGCCUGGUGGCCUUCUGAGCUCUGCAGCAUGGGUGGUCCUCGUGCUGGUAGAGCACAAGGCUGUGGGAGUUCAUGGCCCCCUCUGGGGGACAUGACGAAUGGCCUUGCUGACAAAACGUGGUCUGCUUUCCAUCUCUGAGCUAUGAACGGUUUCAUUUUCAAAGCAGGAAAACAAACCACGGGAACCAGACACAACACACCCAGGCCACAAACGAUACAGCCAUUUUCUCAUCUCAAAUAAGGGACCUGCAAAGGUAAAAGAAAAACGGCUUUGUUAGAAUUCUCCGAUGAAAAACAAAUACGGAAAACUCAACCGGAGGUUGUAAUGAAACUUCCUUCACCUUCCCUCCCUGGUCCUUCUGCUGACCUGGUGGAGUCCCGGUCCUCUGUGGUGGGCCAACCUACCCGAUACUGGCCUUCUUCAGGGGCUUCCCAGAGGCCACUAUGGAGGUGGGAGGGGCAGGGAGUAGGGGGGAUUCAGGCAGGCGGGGGGUACUCUCAGCCCCUCUGUACGCCACCAGCCCGAUUUCUAUCUGAUUAAUUGAAUACAGUUCCAUUAAAAUUUCUUUUGAAGGAAAGAUUCAGCAGCUAAAGAACAUUUGAAAUAUUCUAGUCUAGUCUGAUCUCACAUGCAUUCUGAUGAGUGGUUCCAGUGAAGAAAUGAGGAAAAAAGAAUAGCAAUUUCACAAGAAGUGCAUUGAUUUCUGUGCCUCUCCUCUCUCUGAUGUUGCCCAUUAUUUCCCUUUAACCAUUUGAUCCUUUCUUUAGGUGUAUGAUAACUUAAGGCUGACUUCCGAAGAGUGAGAAAGAACUAGCUAAAAAUUAUAUCUUGUGAAUGACAAGAUAAGCAUGUGAGCUAACUAACAUGAUAAAUGAGCACCCUAUCUCAGCCUCCAGUAGUUGGCAGGUGGACCCAUGUGCCACAACUAGCUCAUGGAUAUAGAACCUAUCUUGUCUAUGUUCCUAUAGUAAUAUAGGGAAUAUAAUAGAUAAGUUGGGGUAGCUGCCAGAUUGAUAACGUCUCACCCUCCUACGCCCCCGCCACUGGCCAUGUGUGUAAGAAGUGGCUUUGUUUCCCUAGCCAUAGCUAAUUGAGCCAAGCUGGGCCAAUGGAGUCUUUCUCUUGCUAGUGACUAAGAGCAUAGACUCAGGCUAAGCCAGGAGGGGUGGUAAGAGGUUGGACCAUAAGCAGUGUGGGAGAGAGGACCAUGAGGAAAGGUUGGGGUGUAAAAAUGAAUACAGAGUGCAAGGUGGGCUGGAGGGAGCACUUGGAAGGAGGGGUGGGCCCCCGCUGCAUCAGAUCAAGGUAUUUGGAUUAUUCUUUUAGGCCUUUAGCAGCCAUUGGGAGGUGCCUUAAAUAGAGAUGUGAAAUCAAAUCUAAAAUUUACAAUGUUGAGUCUAGUGGUCCAGUGAAGAUGAAUAAAGAGUGGUGAGGUGGUUAGGAGGGUCUGUGUCAAAAGGGUUAAUGUGUUCACAUUUGGAAAAACUUUAUAGAGCGGGUGCUCAUUGUGUAUCAGAGGAGAGGGGAUAAGGACUUAAACUGUGGUGUCAGUGUGAAGAAGAAGGAGGAAGAGAUUCAUAAUACAGGCCCAAGAGAACCUGUUGACCAGUUGGAGGUGGGUAUGAGGGAGGGGCAAGAGACAAGCAUCAUUUAGUCCACAGAAGGACUGAUAGGACUUUGUAGGAAAAGAAGCUAUUUGGAAAGUGGUGGGGAUGUAUAUGGAAAUGAGUUUUGUCCUGAAGAGUGGGACUAUUUUAACAUUCAGAGGACUUUCAGGAGAUGUAGUUUCAAUCCACGCCUUCUACGAAACUAAUGUUAUAGCAAACAAGUAUCUUACGUGAUGAUGUGAAAAAAUCAGAAAGUGCUAACAAGGAGGUCAUCCAAGAAACAGGUUAUUAAAAAGGAGCGUGAUAUGUUUUGGAUCUGUGUUCCUGCCCAAAUCUCAGGUCAAAUUGUAAUCCCUAGUGUUGGAGGAGGGGCCUGAUGGAGGUGACUGGAUUCUGGGGGCAGAUUUUCUCCUUGCUGUCUCGUGAGAGUGAGUGAGUUCUCAUGAGAUCUGAUUGUUUAAGGGGGUAGCACCUGCCCCAUCUCCUCCUCCUCAGGCCAUGUGAGACGUGUAUGCUUCCCUUUGCCUUCCUCUAUGAUUGUAAGUUUCCUGAGGCCUCCCCAGUCAUGCUUCCUGUACAGCCUGCAACCGUGAGCCAAUUAAACCUCUUUUCUUUGUAAAUUACCUAGACUCAGGUAUUUCUUUAUAGCAGUGUGAGAAGGGACUGAUACAGCGUGUGACCCCAGUGCUAAUGUGAAGCCCCCUCCGGAGCAGUUGUGCUUCUUACUGAUUCCGAGCAGAGCAAGGACACAAUAGCCUUCGGUGAGUGUGGACUGCUUUGCAGAACCUACAUACACAUUGGGCCCAUGGAAACAUGUGGGCCAAACUGCUUUGGGGAAGAAUGCUCAGAACAGAUCUUAUUUUCCAUCAGUUCUUUACCCUACUCCUAUUCUUUUAGAACUUCCCUCAGAGAUUUUCUUUCAAGCUUCUGAAAUCUACGCUUUCUCUCUCCCUCUUUCUUUUUUCUUCUCUAAGUCCCUCUUCCUGUCUCUAACUCUCUCUUUUUUUUUCUCUCUCUCUCUCUCACACACACACAAACACACACAUGUUGAUAUAUGGAAAACUCUGUGAUUUAUUAGGAUAGUUCUUCUGAAUGAAGGGAAGAUGUAGGGGUGGGGAAUCAUAGAAAGAG
ensembl:lncRNA